rnacentral:rRNA from 1 species
UACGUAGGGUGCAAGCGUUGUCCGGAAUUAUUGGGCGUAAAGAGCUCGUAGGCGGUCUGUCGCGUCGGCUGUGAAAACUCGGGGCUCAACCCCGAGCCUGCAGUCGAUACGGGCAGACUAGAGUGUGGUAGGGGAGACUGGAAUUCCUGGUGUAGCGGUGAAAUGCGCAGAUAUCAGGAGGAACACCGAUGGCGAAGGCAGGUCUCUGGGCCAUAACUGACGCUGAGAAGCGAAAGCAUGGGGAGCGAACAGG